ACGACGUUGACCACUUCAGCAUAGACAGAACUGAAGAGCAUCGCAGUGCGACAAGCCACCCUGAAGAUCUCAUCAAGGAUCCAAUCAGCGCUUGGAAAUGAAAUGCACUCUCCUCUCUGGUUAUGAUGAUGGGUGGGUGCUCUUGGUUCCACUAACGGGGAAAUGAAUGAGCAUUUUAGGAGGAAGCUGGAUAUCCUAAUAAUCAGUAUUUAGAGAGGACCACACUGGACCCCUGGAAGGCCUCCACACCCAAUAGGAAGCUCCCCAAUCUCCACAGGGACCCAGCAGACGGUCCACCAUGGUUCUCAAAUGGGAACAAAGCGUUCCCCAGUCCAAAGUGGUUAAACUGUCGUUUCAAAUUGUUCAGACACCGUGAUUACCGGCAUGGGAGGAAUUAUAUAUUUAGCUUUAUGUCCAUCGCCAUUUCCUCCCCCCACCCUGAUCUGAAGUGACUAGCCCAGUUGUGCUUUCGAUAUUACUAUCUCUGAGGGGUUUAAACCAUCCCCCAGGAGACGGGAGUAAUCAA